GACGAACGCUGGCGGCGUGCUUAACACAUGCAAGUCGAACGGAAAGGCCCUGCUUUUGUGGGGUGCUCGAGUGGCGAACGGGUGAGUAACACGUGAGUAACCUGCCCUUGACUUUGGGAUAACUUCAGGAAACUGGGGCUAAUACCGGAUAGGAGCUCCUGCUGCAUGGUGGGGGUUGGAAAGUUUCGGCGGUUGGGGAUGGACUCGCGGCUUAUCAGCUUGUUGGUGGGGUAGUGGCUUACCAAGGCUUUGACGGGUAGCCGGCCUGAGAGGGUGACCGGCCACGUUGGGACUGAGAUACGGCCCAGACUCCUACGGGAGGCAGCGGUGGGGAAUAGUGCACAAUGGGCGGAAGCCUGGUGCAGCAACGCCGCGUGCGGGAAGACGGCCUGCGGGUUGUAAACCGCUGUCGCCUGUGACGAAGCGUGAGUGACGGUAAUGGGUAAAGAAGCACCGGCUAACUACGUG
rnacentral:rRNA from 1 species